rnacentral:tRNA from 1 species
GCGGGAGUAGCCAAGUGGUAAGGCAUUAGCUUCCCAAGCUAACACUCGCGAGUUCGAAUCUCGUCUCCCGCU